rnacentral:rRNA from 1 species
UAAGACGAACCGUGCGAACGUUGUUCGGAUUCACUGGGCUUAAAGGGCGCGUAGGCGGGUUACCAAGUCAGGGGUGAAAUCUUUCGGCUCAACCGGAAAACGGCCCCUGAUACUGGUAGUCUUGAGGGAGGUAGGGGCAGGUGGAACUUCCGGUGGAGCGGUGAAAUGUGUUGAUAUCGGAAGGAACGCCGGUGGCGAAAGCGACCUGCUGGAUCUCUUCUGACGCUGAGGCGCGAAAGCUAGGGGAGCGAACGGGAUUAGAUACCCCGGUAGUCCUAGCCCUAAACGAUGGGUACUAGAUUGUGGGCUUAACAUGGGUUCACAGUCGAAGCAAAAGUGGUAAGUACCCCGCCUGGGGAGUAUGGUCGCAAGGCUG